rnacentral:rRNA from 1 species
UGGGGAAUUUUGCGCAAUGGGGGAAACCCUGACGCAGCAACGCCGCGUGAGUGAUGAAGGCCUUCGAGUCGUAAAACUCUGUCAGAGGGGAAGAAAUGCAGGGGUGCUAAUAUCAUCUUUGCUUGACGGUACCCUCAAAGGAAGCACCGGCUAACUCCGUGCCAGCAGCCGCGGUAAUACGGAGGGUGCGAGCGUUGUUCGGAAUUAUUGGGCGUAAAGCGCGUGUAGGCGGUUUGGUAAGUCUGAUGUGAAAGCCACGGACUCAACCUGGGAAGUGCAUUGGAAACUAUCAGACUUGAAUACGGGAGAGGGUAGUGGAAUUCCUAGUGUAGGAGUGAAAUCCGUAGAUAUUAGGAGGAACACCGGUGGCGAAGGCGGCUACCUGGACCGAUAUUGACGCUGAGACGCGAAAGCGUGGGGAGCAAACAG